AUCACACCAGUGAAUGCCACAUGU
rnacentral:siRNA from 1 species